rnacentral:tRNA from 1 species
UUAAUUGAAGCCAAAGUGGAGGCAUUUUAAUGUUAAUAAAAUAAUUGAAUUAAUUUUCCAAUUAAG